AUUGAACGCUGGCGGCAUGCCUUACACAUGCAAGUCGAACGGUAACGGGCCUUCGGGUGCCGACGAGUGGCGAACGGGUGAGUAAUGCAUCGGAACGUACCCAUCAGUGGGGGAUAACUCUCCGAAAGGAGGGCUAAUACCGCAUAUUCUGUGCGCAGGAAAGCGGGGGACCGCAAGGCCUCGCGCUGAUGGAGCGGCAGAUGUCAGAUUAGCUAGUUGGUGGGGUAAAGGCCUACCAAGGCGACGAUCUGUAGCGGGUCUGAGAGGAUGAUCCGCCACACUGGGACUGAGACACGGCCCAGACUCCUACGGGAGGCAGCAGUGGGGAAUUUUGGACAAUGGGGGCAACCCUGAUCCAGCCAUGCCGCGUGAGUGAAGAAGGCCUUCGGGUUGUAAAGCUCUUUCGGCCGGGAAGAAAUCGCAUCUCCUAAUACGGGGUGUGGAUGACGGUACCGGAAUAAGAAGCACCGGCUAACUACGUGCCAGCCGCCGCCGUAA
rnacentral:rRNA from 1 species